rnacentral:lncRNA from 1 species
UUUUUUUUGCUUUAUUGAUACUUAGGUAAUGCAAUACCCAUGCAAGGUAUAGUUACUCAUGUUUUACAUGCUGAUGUGGCCUAGUCGCAUCAGUAAAUUAAAUCAAAAUUUAAAAAAAAAAUCUGUCUCCCUUCUAUCCUUCCCCACCUAUGGUGACUCCAUGGUCCUUUGCUUCUUCACCUUGCCUAUGUCUGUCUUGGUCUCAUCUUUU